CAGCCGCCGCGGGAAUACGUAGGUCCCGAGCGUUGUCCGGAUUUAUUGGGCGUAAAGGGAGCGCAGGCGGUUUAAUAAGUCUGAAGUUAAAGGCAUUGGCUCAACCAAUGUAUGCUUUGGAAACUGUUAGACUUGAGUGCAGAAGGGGAGAGUGGAAUUCCAUGUGUAGCGGUGAAAUGCGUAGAUAUAUGGAGGAACACCGGUGGCGAAAGCGGCUCUCUGGUCUGUCACUGACGCUGAGGCUCGAAAGCGUGGGUAGCGAACAGGAUUAGAUACCCCCGUAGUCCCUGUCUCUUAUACA
rnacentral:rRNA from 1 species